rfam:Salmo salar isolate Sally breed double haploid chromosome ssa20, whole genome shotgun sequence.
GCAUGGACGAGUUCUGUGUUACUCUGUCAGUAGUAGAUGCAAUCAGACACCAUGCAAAACAUCCUUUCACUACUUCUUUACUAAAGGUGAGUGCUGACCUGUGCCUCACCUACUCCUUGGAGAAGUGAAUACAAGU